rnacentral:pre_miRNA from 1 species
CUUUGACAGGACCCCAUCAGAUGUCUGGUUUGGCUCACUCGGUUCCAGGUGUGAGCUGUCUGAUCUGGCUGUCUCCAUCAGUGC